GUUCCUGUAGUUGAAUAACAACGAUAGUUUUUCAAGCUGGCAGCCCCAGUUAAAGUCUGGGCAGGAAUA
rnacentral:tRNA from 1 species